AGCAGUUGAAGCUGAGGAAAGGCCGUACACAACGCCUUUCCUAUACUUCAUACAAACCUCCAUCUAUUGUUCACAGUAUGGCUUUAAUCAUGUUAAACAACUGGGUCAAAUGACAGCGCACAGUGAACAACAGUAUAUGGCGUGUUGAAAUCAAUGCAGGAUCACAGCUAUCUUCUGAGUUCACCUGCUCUGUGCAUUGCUCAGGAAGAGCUGGCACCCUCCAAAUUCUGCAUAUGUGACUAAAGUCCUGUCUAGACAGGAUUAGUUUUACUGGAUUAUCAGAAACAUGACGGUAAAGCAACAUUCUAAAACUGAAUCUCUACAAUAAGGACAGCUCUUCAGACAGCUCCACAUCUUCUAAGAUCAGUUACCAAUGCUCUGUGUUCUGCUGUUUCAUGGUGGGGAGGCAGCAGUUGGAGCAGAGAAGCCUGCAGGCUCAGCAAAGUGGUAAAAAAGACUUUUUUCUGUCAUGGGGCUGAGGCUAGACUCCCUUGAGGCAGAAGGGAGAUGGGAGGGUUUCACAGGAAAACUGUCCAGCACGUAAUCUUUGCUGAGAUAAUGUUUCUGCAUAGAUGGUUACACUUUUUCCACCAUAAACAAUGAGACAAAGAGUUUUUACCAUCCUCAGAUGAUGCAUAAUGUGACUUUGAGGAAUGACAGACAGGCUGGUGGCUCAGUUCUGUUGUGUUUGU